rnacentral:tRNA from 1 species
CGAAGUAUAGCAUAUAAAAUGCUUUUUACUUACACUGAAAAUAAGAUGUUAAUCUACUUCGCAU